GGAGACCUCGUUCUGGCAAGCCUGCUCAUAACUCCUUCAGGACAACAUUAUUUGUGUAAAAUGAGGGUCAGGUUCCUCAACAUUUUUUUCCUGCUUCAUCAUUUCCUGUUUCUCCAGGCAGUUUGAUAAGCUUUCAACCUAUAAAGCAAUCAAAAGCCAGGAUUUCACGUCAACACCAUAAAACUGACUCAUUAUCUGAAGAUGCACGGUGGCUCCUUCAUAGGCAGGCUCAAGACUUUUCAUCCACAAAGUGGCAGAAGACUGUAAUUCUCAAGCAUGUCCACCACAUGCGGAAGAAACUUCCAUCCUGCUCCUGACAUUCCCAACAUUUUUCUUCAGCAUUCUUAUACAUCUUGGAUAGUUCAAUUGGUGUCAUAUACCAUAGAUGGAACAUCUUAAGCCAAUUUUCUUUGAAGUCCAUCGCAUAGGUGUAUUUUAGCUUUUUAUUCCAGAUUAAUUCCCAUUCGUUUAAGUUAAUUGGUCUUCUUAUAUUUUCUGCCCAUUGAAUCAUACAUUUUUUUCACUCCUUCCUUCUCUGUCG
rnacentral:lncRNA from 11 species